AUGCCAUGUAAUUAUAUGUUCAUGUAUCAUAUUAGUAUGUGUUUAUACAUAUAUCUGGAUUAUAGUUGUUGGAUGCAUUUUUUUUUAUAUUUUUUAGAGUUUUCUGAGGAAAGUACAAUAUACUCAGACCUCAAAGUUCAUUGUUCUUCAAAUACCCAGAAUGGAAAAAUAACUAAAACUUCGAAAACAAAAGUUCAUUGUCUUGAGGAGAGCCUGCAAAAGGCAGCCAUUGAGACUGCACAUUGCAAUAUAAUAUCACAAAACAAAGGUAAGUAUUGGUUUACAAUGGGAAUGUUGGUAUCUAUCACACAUAAGCUGUUUAAAUCUAGACAUAAUUUGUAAAUAUAUGUAAAUAUGUAUUAGGUAAAUAUUCACUUUGUAAAUAUAAGACCAAAGUUAGUUAACAAUGGUGUACUUAUCAGAAAAACUCUCAUAAAUCAGGACUUCUCUUGCCGUUAGGGAGGACAAUUGAAAACAAUAAUGCAAAAAUUAUAAUUCACUGAAUGACCGUAGGUGACAAAGUUAUCUUCUUGCAUGUACUUUUUGUUUGUCAAGGUAAUUGGUCUUCCUCCAAAGAAAACUGACAUUUUAUAUCUACUGAAAAUAAAAUCUUGGCAUCAAGGAAAUUUGUUCUGAAGCAUUGAGCUCCAGUCCCACCAAGGCAAAUAAUGAACAAUUGGAAGUGUUUCAUGUGAUAUUCACUCUUAUAUUUUCUUACACAUCAUAUAAUUAUAAAUAGAGAAUUUUUAACAUCUUGUGUUCAUUUAAGCAUGCUAAACUCAACAUUUUAUAAAUUGGAGACAUCUCAAUCAAACUCAAAAGAUCAAAAUAUGACCUUAAAAUGGUUUUAGAUUUUAAAUAUAUUUGCAUACAGAAGUAAAUGCAAAUAUAAGAAAUUUCAAAUGUUGGCUAAUAAUGGGGGAAGAAAUCACAUAGACAUAGAAACUAAAGGGAAUCUGGUCACAAGUGGCACCUAAAAAAGAGCUAAUAUUUGUUGAUUGCUUCACAUAUUCCUGGUGCUACAUCAAUGAUUGUGGGCAUUAACUCAUGUAUUUUCCCAGUAAUCUUAUGAUACAAGUAUUAUCAUUGCCAUUGUUGUAUUAAUAAGAAAACCAAGACCCAGAGAGAAUGAUAGUUUUUUUCUGGGUAUCAGAAAUAGUAAGAAUUAGAUGCUUAAACUAUGAUUUAAGCUAAAAGAGUCUAACUCUAAAGAUCAGGAACAUAGCCAUUACGCUAUGCUGACCCCAGAACAAAAAAUCUUAAUGAAUCAAAUUGUAAGAAUAUUGCUUCUUUGUAAAUAGUCAGAGCUGCUGAUACAAGCAGAUUUACAUUUUUCCACCCUGGAUGUAUCUUCUAAAGAGGAACAGUGAGAAAAAGAAUAGUAGCUCUUCAUAAGGACUAUUUUGAUACGAAUUAUUGUUUGGAAUGUGAAUAAAUGUUUCCCCCCAGUAGAUCCUAGCAAGCCAAAAGAAUAUAGAUGUCUUUUAUAUUUUUGUUCUCCUCUACUAUGUGACUAUUACCUCUAUAUUAUUUCUUCUUUUUCAUUGUAUUGAAGUUCUGUUAUUGCCUUUAAUGAAGACUUCAAUGCAGAUCAAUGACGAUAAAUUUAGGGCAUAUAUGCUGAAAAUUUCCAUACAGUAUUCUUAGAAGGCACUGUUCAUCAUAUCCUUCCCUAUGAUAUGCAAUAUCAUAAUUGCAAUCCUUCAUAAUUGCAAAAAAAGUGAGCGUAGACUUCACUUUGAAUAACUUUCAACAGAGCAUACCAGAAAGUCUCCUCCAAUUGAAUUACUCUCAUCUCAUCUACAUAUGGUGCUUCAAAGUGAACUUGUAUAUACACAUCAGCAAUGAGCUCUUUCAGCAAAAGCAAGCAAAAACUGCACACAAAGAGCAAUGAAUUUGCUAAGGCAAUCGCUCCUAUGGUCUAUUACCUCAAAAUUUGUUUUUUUGUUUUGUUUUGUUUUUUGAGACGGAGUCUCGCUCUGUUGCCCAGGCUGGAGGGCAGUGGCGUGAUCUCGGCUCACUGCAAGCUCCGCCUCCACGCCAUUCUCCUGCCUCAGCCUCCCGAGUAGCUGGGACUACAGGCGCCCACCACCACCCCCGGCAAAUUUUUCUGUAUUUUUUAGUAGAGACGGGGUUUCACUAUUUUAGCCAGGAAGGUCUUGAUCUCCUGACCUCCUGAUCCGCCCGCCUUGGCCUUCCGAAGUGCUGGGAUUACAGGCGUGAGCCACCGCGCCAGGCCCAAAAUUUGUUUUUAUAAAUCACAAUUUCCCCAUAACCUAGAGUAGAAGAGAUAAUAUCUGAAUUUUUCACAACUGAUACAAAAUAUCAAACUAUAUAUUAUCAAAGGCUUAUGAACUCCAGUAGGGCGAAUAAAAUGACAAGUUAGGUGUAUCAUAUAUAACUGUUGAAAAAAAAGACAAACAGAAACUUAAAGAUAGGAAGAGAAGCAAAGUUUACUUUCAAAGGAGCAACAAUUAUAAUGGCAGCUAACCUAUAAAAAGGAAAAAAAAAUGAAGGCUAUAUGAUUACUGAUUGACAACUGCCAUAGUAAAAUUCUAUUCUCAGAGACAACUAUCUAAUCAAAUGUGAAUGAUAUGAGCAUCUAAUUAUACUCCAUAGGUAAAAGAAAGAUCAUUUAAGUAGAACAAAAACAAUGUAUUACCUUUAUAUCUGUAUUAAGAAAGUACACUAGAAGAAUAUCCUUUUUUUUUUUUUUUUUUUGAGAUGGAUUCUCACUCUGUG
rnacentral:lncRNA from 1 species